rnacentral:lncRNA from 1 species
UCUCAAGUGAAAUGUAAUGAUCUUUAACACCACAUGUAUUACAUAUUGAAAAAAUAACUAUGAUAUUGCCCAAAACGGUUUUGCGUGGCACUUCUUUUCAUGAAUCAGAAGCCAUGUGUAGCGUGAUUCGUUAAACAAACAACAUAAUGCCCAUGUUCAUAUUUCCUUACAAUUUAUGCUAAUAUAAACAGCUUUUAAAAUCAACAUAUAGCCCUUGUUUGAGCCCCCAUUUUAAGGGAAAUAAUGCAUUUUUAAAUAGUGAUUGAUGGAGUAUGUGUGGUUAAAAAUUAAAAAAAAAUUAUGGGUUUGAGUGUAAUAUUAUUUUAUUAAAAAAUAUGUGGUUGAAAAUGAAUUUUGAGAAGAAUGGAGCUCAAACAAGGGCAUAGAAUGAUGAAUGAAUCUUCCACUUGCUAUCCAAUUCUCAGCUACAUAUUAUGUAUUUUAGUGAGAGUACAUUUGGUCUCUGACUUGAUUCAUUUACUCUCUUCACCAAUACUCCAAUGGUGUUGAAUGAGUACCUAAACUCUAACUUCCAAAUUAAUUUUCACUUUUUUUUCCAAAUAGUAAUUAGUUUCUAGAUGUGAUUGUGGAGAUUUGGCAUGGAGAAGGAGAACUUUUGGAGAGAAAUUAUAGAGGCGAAAUAUGGUGUUAUGGAGGGAGGAUGGUGCUCAGUUGAGGGUCGUAGUUCUUAUGGAGUUAGUUUAUGGAAGUAAAUCCGACGAGAGUAGAGAGAUUUCCUAGAUAAAUUGAUGUUAUGUUGGAGAAUGGCAACAUUAUCAAAUUUUGGGAAGCUUGUUGGUGUGGAAAUUGGCUGUAAAGAGUGGAGCUUCCUUCUAUUGUGUUGCUCCGAUGCCAUCUGCUAUGGUGAAAAAGGUUGUACAUAUACAUAAUAGGAAUAUCAGCUGGAACAUUGCGUUUUGGAGGGAUUUGCAGGACUGGGAGUUGGAUGAUUAUGCGAUACUUAUGAACUCCUUGUAUGAGGCGUGCAUUAAGGCAGAAGAGGGUGAUUGUAGCAGAUGGAGUUUGGCACGGGGUGGUAUUUUCUCAAUUGGUACUUAUUUUAGGUCCUUAUUGAGACUUGCAUAGAGCUAAUUUCCCUGGAAGAUGGUAUGAAAAUGUAAACUGCUUCCUCGGGUGGCAUUUUUACUAUGAGCGGUUGUGAAGGGACAAGUGUUAACGGUAGAUAACCCCCUAAGAAGGAGUUUUUAUCUUACGGAGUGGUGUUAUAUGUGAAGGAGGAAUGGGGAGAUGAUUGACCAUUCGUUCCUUCACUGUGACGUUGCUCGUUCUCUUCGAUAUUCUAGCUUCUCAACACAUGGUUUAGGUUUUUCCGCAGUGUAUGGAGGAUGUAUUGGAAGCAUGGAGGAGAAAAUUUCAUAAUAAGGAUAGCAAGUUUGUCUGGAACCUCAUUCCAAGGUGCAUCGUAUAAUACCCGCACUUGAAUUUCCGGGUCUAAUUAUCAAAAUUGAAGAAUUUAGGGGCUCAUUUGAGGGUUAAUCCACCUUCUAAGACCUUGUAGCAAACUUACCAUAAGUACUAAUUCUCACAUGUUUUUGAUUAAAUUUUUGGUCAAACACUUACAUAGAAAAUUCUUGAUUUAUGCUUGAUUGACCAAACAUAAGGUAGUGUGUAGUGUGAAUGAAUAAAUGUAGGAAUGAUGGAGAGAUUCAUGCUCAUUUCACAAAUUUCAAGGAACAAAUUCUAUUAUUAUGAAUUUUUCCUUAAAGAUGCAUGACUAAUCUUGCUCUAUUUAAACCCCUCAUUUACAUUCACAUGCUACCACUCAAUAAUAUAUUUUUUUUAGUCCAAAUAAUACACACAUACACAUUCAUAAGCCAAGGUGGAAGUUGUAAAGGGAUCAAGUCUCUAUUACUCUUCCUUUCAAACUUCACUGUAAGUAUGCUGUCUAUGUUGAAUUAUUGUUAUGUUAUGAAUUUCAAGAAAAUUAUUAUGGGUCACAUAUGUUAUGAUAUGAUUAUAAUUAUAUUAAGGAGACCGGAGUUUAGUAGCGUUACACAUAAGAAUUCUUACCACCUACGUUCGGUAAAAUUCUUGUGUCUCCAUUAUGUUGAUUAUGAUUAUUAUGCUCUUUUAAGUCAUACACAAUAACAAUUCAUGGCGUAGUUUUUGAGAUUUUAUAAAUCUCACUCUAUGAUAAUUCCCCCCUUUCAGGCAAUUAAUGGUUCGAGACAGUCAACAUGAAGAUGGCAAUGGGGCUAAGGUUAAUAAAUUGUGUUGUAUUUAAAACACAACUUUGAAUUUCAAAUUUAGUUGUUAUGUUGAAAUUAUUUUCUUUCUUUCAUUUUUCGCAACUACAUGAUAAAACCAAAAUUUAUUUAUUUAUUGGAGAAAAAUAAAAUUAUUUCAUGUUUUUAUUUUAGUUCUUAUGAAAGAAUUAAGUUUUAUUUAGUGACUCUCGAAUAGUCAAGGAUUCGGACCGUCACACAUCGUCUGGUGUGUGUAGAGGACAGAAACAACCGCUGUUUUGACGAUCUUUCAAGGACUACAGAGCAUAUCAAAGAAUCAUUUUAUUUGACCUUGUAUAAUUGGUUUAAUACUGCGGCUACUACUCGUAUAGACGGGUUGCCCAAUUUUAUAUCGUUUCUUUCUUGUAUAAAUUGAUAAUACACUUUUUAUGUAUUAUCCGUGAUUAAUAAAAUAUUUGAUUACUUAUCAAAAAAAGAAAAAAAUGUUUCUAGACAAAUAUACCUUUGCAGUGAUAUAAUAAACACAAUUUUUUAUAUGAAAUAUUAUUUCAGAAUACAUACAAUUAUGCACACGAUGCAUCAGCUUGCCUCAACUUACAUCAUAUAUAGCUGACACAUUAUAAGAUUUUUUUGCAUAAUUAUAACAGGUUUCUGGAUGGGACUUACCAGUUACGACAACUAGGAUUAGAUUUGUCAAACUAAUUGAUUUCUCCCCACUUUGUAAGUUUACUGGAAUAUAACAGACAAGUCAACACACUUUCUAAGCAAAAUAUCCUACUUUGUAUUCAUAUGCUUUUCAUUUCUAUUGAGGCAUAGUGCAUAACUAAACAAGAAGUCAUACCUCGGCUAAGUUUAGAUGCAUAAUCUUCAUCCGAAUUUUUUUUCUUUGAUAAGAAUCAUAUUCUUUCAUCCAAGUUAACCAUAUCCACUCAGUUUUCUCACAUUUCAUCUCCAGUUGAUGAUACUUUUCCGACUCCCAUGCCCAUUCUAUAUUUAAUGAUUCAUCUUUUGUAUAUUGCAUUUUUUUUCAUACCCCUAAACACCAAUGUUAGUCUUCUCUCAAUUCCAUCCGCAUUUAACAAUAUGCUUGCUCUUACAGUACAUUCACUUCCUAUUAGAUUGACUUUCCAUGUCAGAAAUAUGAUAGUUUUAAUAAAUGCCAAUAAGCCACAACUGUAUCAGCAUCCAUAAUGCUACUCCCAUAUAUCAAUUACCACAUGAGAAACAUACCCUCUCCGUCCUACAAAGAUAGGUUGCUUCCAUUUUCACACAAAUUAAGAAAAUGUAAUUAAUAUAGUUGGAACAAUAAAUUUUACUUAUUUUUAUAAUAUACCCCUACAUUAAUAAUGGCUUAAAUAGGAGUUAUUCAUAUUUGUUGAUAUCAAGCACAUUAAAUAGGGGCAUAUUAGAAAACUAAGAAAUAAUUAUGCUCUAAACAAGGAAAGUGACCUACAAUUCGGAACAUACGAUAAAGGAAAGCAAACCUAUCUUUGCAGGAUGGAAGGAGGAGUUAAUUUCAUAUGCUUUCAAUUUUCAUACGAAAACCAAAAAUUAGACACCAUGAUUGGACAAAGAAUUUCAAAUUCAAUCAGUAACAUUUACUUGAUAUUUCUUACAUCUCUUGUAUACUUGUAGAGUUACCAUUCCAUAUAUGAAUUCAUAUGCAUUUUAGGAUUCUUAGUUAUAGAAAAUCAUCCAAACUUCUGAUGGUGGUAUAACAAGAAAAAAUUAUCAUGGUUAUCACUGAUUACUUAUUACAAGUAUCAAUAUCAUUAACUUGACAUAUAGAUAUAAAAAGAUUUUGAGAGAAUAAAUUUAUGAAGCAAAAGAAGAAGAGAGAAACCUAUUCAGCUUAUAUCGUUAUAUGCGACCCCUAUGGCAUGAUAACUUAAUUGUCCUUUAACAUCAUAUGACAUAUCAAGUAGCAUCCACGAAAGCUCAAUAUAUUGAAUUAUUUAAUGAUGCAAAUGAAUAUAGUAUCAAAGUCAAGCAAGGUAUGUAAUGUGCAAGCAUGGAUGAUCACAAGUAACGAUUAAUCUACCAGCAAAUGAAAAUCACCAGUAGAGAAUUCAUUCUAAAAAGAAAUGGGGUUUGUCAUUCUAUGACCCCAACCAUUGUAUGAAGUGCCAUCCUUAUUGUAAUUAGUAACCAUUUCUAAAGCAGGAGGUAAAUCCUGCUGGAUGGCUAACAAGAUGGCUUUCUGAAGGAUCAAAGAUAUUUUGCUGAGAAAAGAGGGCGCGUCCCCUGAGCCUCUGUCUACAUAAAAAGUACAAAAAAGUAAGCAGAUAGCAAUUAGCAUCAUAAUUGUAUUUCACCAAAUAUGUUGUAUCAUAAUAGUCAUUGACUAGUUAGCAGUAGCUAGAAGAAACAAACUUAAGAGUAGCAGAGUUACACCAAAAAUGUUUAAAGUUCCUCCCAUGUGAAGAAUGGUCCAGCAGAGAGAAUAUCAAUAUAUUCAUUAAUGAACAAGUAUUAUAUUAUGAUAUUCUUGAUUUGUAUCUAUCCUCAUUAAUGAUUUCCAAAUUCCAACACCAGAAAUACUGGACCAACGUGUAUAAAAUCUAGCAUUAUCUGGUGCCUAGUCUUUUAACACAUUCCAACCUUAGAAAUUGGAGCUUAUUAUUGUUAAAAUGCAUUUCUCAUCUUACUUCCAGUGCCAUAAAGGCCUUAAUAAAGUAGGAUUUAUUGUUGCACCUAUUAAAUGUGCUAGUCGUUAAAGAACGACCAUUAUAGGAAAUGUUACAUAAUAUAUCAGUAACUGGAAUAGUAAUCACAGGUUUCUGUCUGCCUUUCUAGAGGUUCCUGACCUGCAUCUCAUGGAGACACAUCUCUACCUAGAAGAGUGCUGACCAUGAGGAAUUUAGGAGUGGAAGUUGUGAAGCUUUAAAAACAACUCAUAUAUCAACCACUCUUUCAAGUUCUGUUCUAAUGUGUCUGCCUCGCAGAUUCUCUUGUAUGCUAUUGCAGUUUAUUAACAAGGGUAUAGAAACAAAUGCAUAAGCAAAAUAAUAAAAAGUUAGAAGUAAGAAAUAUUAUAGGAAUUCAUGUUUAUCGUCCACACUUUCAGUUUUUAAAGCCAAACUAUAGAAGAUAUCUUUUGUUUUAAAACUUUCAAAUUUUACACUGAAAUAGCCCUUCAAAAUAUAUAAACAAAAGUCUUUUGACUCUGUCCAAAUGUUUCCUUUCAAAGUUUAUAUACCAAUCAUGUUGUUGCCUCUUUUACAAAUAUAUUUACCGAUCUCAGAACACUACUACUCUUCCUUUCAUCCAAUAACAUAGAUCACCUCAAAAUAAACUGUAACCUGUCACUCAAUCUAAAUGCUGAUAGCCAUAGUGAGAGAGAGGAAAAUUUUCCUAUGAAAUGUCCAACUCUUAUUUGUUUCAACUUUGUUUUCUUGGCACAUUCUGUCCACAGAAAUAGAUCAACCAUCAAUGGACUAAUUGAGAGAGAGGAAAAGUUUAGCCUCUUUAACACUUAGAUCUGAGUCUUUUCUCUAUCCCAUAAUAUUCUUAUACAUAGAAUCUUUUCUCAACUGAAACUGACAACAUCUAAUUUUGGACAGCCAUCCUAGAUGAAUAAAGCUUUUAUAUAAAGGAUCCUAUACCAGAAGCAUCCAUAAAUAAUUAGACAUACCCAAAGAGUUGCUCCUGUUGGACAUGGACUUAGUUAUGAAUUCACUCCUGUUGCUUAGAAUCUCUUUCCUCUGAGAGAAACAAAGAUAUCAAACCUCAAAAGCCCAACUACUUCCCUUAAAAAAUUGAAGAUUAUCACUCUAUGUUAGACUGUUAGUGAUACCAAGCCUGUUUGGCCCAACCCAGGGCCACAGUCUCCAGGUAUGCAGGGCAUUUUAUACUUUUUUGUUAUUUAUAGAAAGUAACCAAAAAUAAAUAAUAAAAGUAAUAGCAAGGCAGUGGCCCAACCUGAGCCUGCCAGAAGUGCAGGCCAUACGCCCAUGGGCAGCUGCAACUGCUCACUUGACCACUCUACUCUACAGUAGCUUCAACGAGUACCACAUCUUUUGGAAUAUACAAAUGUUGAUUUAUAAACAAAUAAUAAAUGGCUAUAAUCAAAUUGAUCUGGCAGCCACAGGAGAAGAAAACUCAACAAAUAUUAACCACUAGAAACUGAACUAAGUAGAAUAGUGAUUAAGUACUCACCAUUUUACCUUUGCUUUUCCUUCUGACAUUAAGAUCCCCUUUCCCUCUCUUGCUGGCUUCUUUCACCUGCUCAGAUGAACGAAAAUAAAAAAUGAGUUCACAUUAAGAAUUAAAGUUUCAUAAUAUCUGCCAUAGCUACCUUAUUGGUACACGCAAUUAAAAAAUUAAGAAAGUUGAAAUAAUAAGAUUCUCAGUGAAGUUACAAUCUCCUCAGAGAUGCUUUAUAGAAAAAAUGACACUUCAUGUACUCUAUAUUGGUUACCGAACUUAAAAUCUUUAGAUUUCAAAGUACUGGCUUAGGAUUCAACUGCAUUUUAGUCUUGCAUAUCAAUAAAUAACAUACACUUAAAAACCACAUCUUGGAUAUGUUGUAUAUGCUUAACCAUGACUAAAAUGAGACGCUAAGGAUUCCGAGCAAAACCUUGAUUUAUGUUACAAACUAAAGUAAAUUUCUACUUCACUGUCAUAGUGCCAUUAGAUUUCAUGCUCAGUUUACUGUAUCAUACAUAUCUUUUGUUAAUAUUCCUAAAUAGUAGAACUUUAUUGUCUCUGGCCCCCACUAUAACACUUAUCUUGACAUCUUAUCAUAGGCUAUUUCUAAAUCAAUAAAAAACCAAGUGGACAUCAUUUCUUUCUCAAUUAUUUCCCUUCAAUAGCUUACAGUAGAUCUGCCUGACAUAACAAUCAAACAGUUUGUCUAAACCCUUUGAAUCCUUAAUCCAUUCUCAGUAUUGUGAUUGGUACAAUCUUAAAUAUAUCAUUUAUUCUCUUACGUAGUCUCUCCAUCCUUUAUGCUUAUAAGUACAUGCUACAAACCUCUUCCACCACUUGUUAGACUUCUUUUUACUUUUUCAAAAUCUCAUUGAAUAAUUCUGUCACCCAUAAAAUAACCACAAGAACAAACACUUGCAUAAAUUAUUUGUAAUUUUAUCCCAAUCAAUUUGUUUUCUCAGAUUCAUCCUUCGAAGUUUAUAGUAAAACUCAGGCUUCAAUUAGAUCUUUGUUAUUUUGCUAUUAAAUCUGUUUUCCACAGUAUUCAGCGCCAAUUUUAAAUUUCACAUGUCAGUAGUUUCUAGGAGGCUCUUUAAAUUAGUCUUAGGUCGGGUCAAUUUCCAUUUUCGUAAUUCUUGAUGGUCUAGAAUAGGUUACUAUUAGUUUUCUAUUUAGUUUCAGCUUGAGAGAGUUCUAUGUCCAAAUAAUGGAUCUUUCGGAACCCAUAAGCAUUGAGGAGAAAGAAGAAUCUCUUCAAUGGAAAUUCACUUAGCUAUCUCUUCAAGACUCAGUGUAUCCACCGUUAUUGGGUAGUUUAGGACACCUUGUUGUCUCCAGGUUGGUACUCUUCUUUGCUUAAUAGAGGCUAGACUACUAAUUACUUAGAGAGCAAUUGAAUGUUGUCUUGUGAUCGAGUGAUGUAAUCAAACCAUUAGUGUGAUGACAUGGGAUUGUAGGUCUGACACCUUGUUUUCUUUCUUUUCGUCUCUUAUCUUUCUUUGGUUUUACCUUUCCAGUAUUUGAAGAUAGCUUCUUUAAUUCCAAAAAAUUCAAAUCACCACAUUCAAACCCAAAUUUCAAAACAAAAGGUUCAGAGUACAUGUGGAGAGAGGAGGAAGAUUACUUGUAUAUGAAGCAAUGACCUCUACGAGAUCAUUUGUUCAAUCCCACUAAAUUCUUUUUGAAGAUAUUAAAUUGAAACUCCCAAUAAAUCUGAGGCUGGCCCCUAAAACACCCGGUCUAGCAAUAAUUUCAAUUAAAUAGCAUAUCCAUCGUAAUUCUUAUGCAAUUUCAGCAGAUUGAUAAUAUGAAUGUUGCUAAGCAAAAAUAAUUACAUAAUGAAACAGAACGUUAAUGGUAAUACUCACAGUCAUCCAUCUGCAGCGCAAUGCCACAUCACAAACAGUCUUCUUUUUCAGUUGCACAGCAAUUUUUGCAUAGCAGACUAUCAUCGAGUGAGUGGCAUAUCUGUAGUGUAUCUAAACACUAUAUAUUAUCCAAUCACACAUGAAAGAGAAGAAACAUGAUAUAGAUCAAAUCUAGAAAUAAGUAUUUCAUAUUGAUUAUGCAAACCACAACAGACACUUGAAUAUUGCAAUGAAGAGGUAGCAAGAAAAUUAGUUACACAUGUGACUUAUUGAAAAAUUCAGUCAAAACUCAACUCUUAGAAACUUUCCAUAGAACAUCUAUCUGCUCAGAUAAAAAAAUCCACAUCUGUGGUUUCACACGUUAAUAUCGCAAAGAAGAGGCAGCAGAAAAUUAGCUACACGUGUGACUUAUUUAAAAAUUCAGCCAAAAUUUAACUCUCGGAAACUUUCCACAGAACAUCUAUCUGCUCAGACGAAAGGUCCAUAUCUGGGGUUUUACAUUCUAGACUAGUUUUGAUAGAGAGACCCAAGUCCACCAUUUACAGGAAAGUGAAGGAAAUAAUCCGUAUUUACAACCAAAUCCAUGUUUCUAUUCAUUCUUAAAUGCCACACAUACAUUAGUACAAAGAAUAUCAAUGUCCCCUACAAGCUGGGGGGUUACAUACAACCAAGGCAGAGUGGUUUAUGAAGAAACUCAUGCAGAUUUCUCCCAAAAGCUAUAGCUAGGAGGAGAGGCCCAAAUAAACCCUUGAUCGCCACGGAUUUAGGAAUCCUUGAUCACCCAUGAUUCAAGAAACCUUACUUCGAGAAUCCCUUAUGAAGUAGGUCCAUCAUCUGAUGCAAGGUGAUGCAACCACUUCUUCCAAAAGCUAUAGCCAGAGGAGAUGCGCAAUCAAACCCUUUAUCACCCAGGAUCAGGCCAAGAAUCCAUCCCAAACACUAUUUGUUUCAGCCUUACUUUGAUUUCUUUACGAAAUAGGCUUACCCUCAUGUUCAAGUGUUCAUCAGAAACAAUGGUUUGCCAGCAUAAGAAUUUCGACUAAAUCAACACAAAAUGGAGGUAGUAUAUUCUAUAGUUGUCUGUUGUGAUAAUAUGCUGACGAAAAUAAUAAUAAUUAGCAUGCCUAUUUGGAUCCUUUUGCAUUUUUUUUUCCAAAAUUGUUUUAUCAAAUGCUAAAAUGACAUACUCAAAUUGGGAAAUCACUGUCAUUGGGAACAAACCAAAUCUAAUUAUGUUAUGACUGCACUUGGAAACGUAGAUACAUGCGAACUAUUAAACUGUCAUACAAGAAAUAGAGAACAUGCAUAGACAUGAAAAUAUAACUAAUGCAGAAGGGCACAGAAGCAUGGCAGGUUCUUACAAAAUCUGAUAAAAAUUGUAUUCAAGAGACCAAAAAAAUAAAAAAUAAAAGAAGAAGAAGUUCACAACCAUGUUGUUGCUUGCAAGAUAAUUAAUGAGCCAGAAUUUAUGAUAUUAUGUCAGCUGUUACCCAAACAAAGACUAGAAAACAUGUUUUGCUAGAUUAACAGAAAAUAACAAUCUCCAUGGAUCCUUUUUUAAACAAUAAAAGAUUAUAUCAUCAUAAGUAUCUGAUAAAAUGGCAUCAAUCAAAUAAAUAUCGUGAAAAGUGUAAGAUGUCUAAUUGGCCCAGCACAAUCAAAAGCAAUAAAAGCAAGAUAGUAACAAAAUCAAAAUUGGCCAAACGGCUAGGAGAUUAAAAAGUACUCUGGCUGUUUAUAGAUGUGUGUCAAGUUUUAGUAGGGUAAAGCUCAUGACAGAUAAGAAAGAUUAGAACCUUAAUGCCAAACAGCACAGAAUAGAUAAAGCAUCUAAUCUUUACUCAAUCAUUAAAUUUUCCAGUCACAAUAACUCCAUUGUACUAUGAUGUGAAUAAUCACUUCAGCAUUGAUGAUUAGAAAUCAGAAAAGCCAACUAAAUAAGCUGCUUUCUAUGAAAUAUAUAUCAUCGACCAUUUUAUAUGAGUGUUUAUGGGGACGACAAAGAAGUAAAAUAACAAAAAGGAAUGUUUAUUAUUUUAUUGAAAUUAUCUGUCAUUGUGUCCACACAAUUGUAAAAGGAAAACAACCAACUCUCACACCUAUCAGAGAAAAAAUAGUGGCUAAUAAAAAUAUAUUUCUACAUAACCCCAGCAUUCAAAGUAAAUUACAUUCAUUGUAUGUCUUUGUGUGUGCUGUCACAAGAAACCACAAGAGCCCAAACAACAGAGACAUCUCUUCUUGAAAAUCGAAAUUAAUUAUAUUCAGCACCUGUAAAAAAUAUUUAAAUAAUAAAGAUGGUCCAAUAAGAAUCUCCCUGUGUAAAUACAUAAUUAAUUUCUCAUAAAUAAACAAUUCAGCCCAAAUAAGAACACCAACACCAAAUCAUCAAGAACCCAAAAAUCCCAACAGAAUUCUCAACAUUCAAAAUGUUCAGAAUAUUCUAAAUUACACUCACUUGGCAAGGCCUUCCUCCAAGAUAGAUUGCUCUUCAGGAGCCCACUCAGUGGAGAUUUGCUUCUGGUACUUCAACGUUGGGACGGCACCAUUAUUCAGUUCAGGUACAGAAUUCCCAUUCCGCAAAAUUGAACCAGGGAUUUGGAUGGACCCUUGUUUGUGCGCUUCACUUGAGGUAGCCAUCAAAACAAUCAAAUGCUCGAGAACCUGCAGGCCGACCACUAAUUUAGGUGUUGAAGAGACGAAAAAUAUUCAGGACCAAACGGUGUUGAACAGAAGGUCAAUAUGAAGCAAAGGGUAACCUGAAAUGAAUGUAGCAACGGAAGCGCCGAAGAGGCUUGUGACGUACAGAUGGAACAGCCUUUCUCGGUUUAUAUAUACGUGCUGGAUGGGUAAAUGCGUGCUAUAUAGGUUUGGGUGAAAACCAUUCUCUAAAUUAUAAUAAAAAGGGACGAAGGUCUAUUAUCAAUAGUAAAUUAAUUCAAAUUUAUUAUGUAUGACGUCAUUUUUUAUUUUUUAUUUUUUUUAUGUUAAACAAAUUUUUUUCACAUAUUAUGUCACUAACAUUAAAAAAAAAAAAUUAUGUCAAACAAAUGUUCUUUCACACAUCAUGCCACUAACAUUAAAAAAAUAAUAAUAAUUUUAGUAAAUAUAAAUUAUCAUGAGGAAAAAAAUUCUUCGCACGUGAACUUUAAAAAAUAUAUAAAAAUAAACUCUCUACAUAGUACAGAUAGAUGGCAAAUCACGUGUGGAGAGUUGGCAAACUCUCCGUACAGUACGAAGUGAAAAAAAAUCUCUCCGCACAGUGCGGAGAGAUGGCAAACACUAUGGCAAAACUCUUUGCACAGUACGAAAAAAUGGCAUAUGUGCGGACACUGUCCUCACAAAGUGUGAAGUAAAAAAAAAAAAUCCUCUCAGUGCGAAGAGUUAACUCUUCGUAAAGUGCAAAGUUAUAUAUAUAAAAAAAAAAAAAAAAACCCCUCUUUGCACAGUAACUUAUUAGUGUAUGAAUUUUAGUUUUUUGAAAUUUUUUUGAAACAAUAUCUAUAAAUAUUUCUAUGAUAUAAGAAAAUAAUUGUAAACUAUUUUUACAAUUACGUAAUAGUAUCGUGUCAUCUAAAAAAAAUAUACUUAUAUAUUUCAUACUUGAAUAAAAAAUAUACGAGAUUAUACAAAUUAUUUUGAUUGUAUUCUUUGAUAGUGUUGCUAUGAUUGAAUUAAGUAUGAAAAUUAUAUUUCUAAAUUUUGUGUAAUUCAAUAUUAAAAAAUUAAAUAUUGUGCACCAUAUUUAUAUGCAUUUAUAUUUUGUGUUUCAUAUAUAUUUAAUAUUUAUUUUAUGUUUAUGUUGAAAAAACAAAAUUCUAAAUUUUUUUUUGAAAUUUGAUUUGGUAAGUGAAUUGAUGCAGGAGAAUUCGAGUCGAGUGAUGCUGAUUUGUCAGAUAGCACGAUGAUGGCACUGAAAUACCAUGAAAUGGUGGAUCGACGCAAAGAUGAAAAAGUGAAUCGCAAUUAUUUUCUUGAUUGGGGGAAUUGGACACAUCUUUGGUAAUUUAGUCAUAACUUUGGCUACGAUUAUCAGAAUCGCUAUUAUGACCCCAAUUCGGAAAACUCUCUUCGGCGAGCACAUCGUGGCCACUCAACUAUGCUUGGUGGGCAUCAAUUUCGAGCCCAAAAUCUGCUAUUUUCUUUUACGAAAUUCAAUUUUUAGUUAUUUUUUUGCUAUUUAUGGUAAUAUUUUGUUUCCUUUUUUCCAUAUGUUAGAAAACUCAAAUUGCACCAAAUUUUUGGCAACCUACUUCUUUUACUUAAUAUUUUUAUUUUGGUAUAAUUUCAAGAUUUUGCCAUUUUUGGUAAUUUUCCCGUAAUUUCGUAUUUUAUAGUUAUUUAACCCGGUUUGUGGAUUAAUUUUGGUCAUUUUACAUUAUUAAUAAUAUUAAGUUGAUUUCAGAGUAUUUUCUCUGAUUUUCGGGUGUUUUCUUUCGUUUCUUUCUUGCGAAUCAUCAGCUACAACAAAUUAAUAGAAUAAUCACUAUUCUAUCCGGCGUCAUGAAUGUACGUUGUUCUGCAUUCUCAGUAUUUGUAAAUGCAAAUAUCGAUAUAUAAAAAUACAGUAAGCUACAAAUACGGUAGAUAGCAUAUAUAGUAAGUUGCAAAUAAGGUUGGCAGCAUAUAUGGUAAGGUGUAAAUACGAUAAGUUGUUUGCAAAUACGGUAAACUGUAAAUACGGUAAGCAGCAUAUACGAUAAGCUAUUUGUACGGUAAGCUACAUAUAUAGAUUUAUAAUUUGUUAUAAAUGUAUAAAACUUAUUUAAUAUUGAAUUUCUUAAGUAUUAAAUAUUGUUUCCUUUUUUGUAAUUAUAUUUUCGAGAAUUAAAAGAAAAAGUGGUUAUGAAAUUGCUAAAUUUUAAAUAUGUUUUUUUGUUAAAAAUAAAAAAGAUUUUUUUAUGUUAAAAAUUAUUGUAAUUUUAUUAGUGUAAUAAGAAGUUUUAUUAUGCAUUUUGUGAAGAAUUUUGUUCAUGGUGAUUAACAAAUAUUCUUCCACACACGCAUCAUACCAACAACAUUAAAAUAAUAAUAAUAAUUUUAGUAUAUAUAAACUCCAUGAGACAAAAAAAAAGACUCCACAAAGUGUGGAGAGAUGUCAAACUAUCUAUCCACACAGUGUGAAGAGAAAAACAAAAACUCUCGAGACUUUAUCUGCAAAUUUUAAGAGGUUUUUUCUCAAACAACUUUUGAGCAAUGCAUUGAACACUUUAAUUUCUGGCCUACAACCUGAAAGUAUAAUUUCAUUGAAAAUUGUAUUCGCUUCUAAUGUCUAAGAGCUGUUAUCGAGUAAGUGUAAAAUAUUGAAUUUGGAUAGUACCCUAGAGCCUUCAUUUGUAAAAGCAAUGCCAUGGUACUAUCAAUAUCUCAUUCUUUGCACAACUCACAUAUUGUUUCAUUGUAUGAAUAACGAGAAAACUCAUUUCUAAUAUCGUAAAUAUGAUUUUUUGCAUGCUCAGAAAUUGAGCUGUAACUGGAAUUUAAAGAAAACAUAAUUGAUUUUGAGCCAUGUUUUUCGACUCUGUUUCGUUGUAUAUACGAAAAAAUUAUAAUCUUGAAAUUGACUUGUAAUUAAGGAAUUUGAAAACAAUUCUCCACACUGUGCAGAGAGUUUUUUUUUACUCCGCACUGUACGAAGAGUUUGUCAACUCUCCGCAUAUGGUUCAACUCUCUUCACACUGUGUGGAGAGGUUUUUUUUUCUCCGCACUUUUUUUUAUUACUCUGAACAUGGUUCAACUCUCUACGCACUGUGCGGAGAGAAAAUCUCUCCGCACUGUGAGGAGAGUUUUGCCAUAGUGCGAACCAACUCUCCGCACUGUGCAAAGAGUUUGCCAACUCUCCACACAUGGUUCAAUUUUCUCCGCACUGUGCGGAGAUGUUUUUUCCUCUCCGUAUCUUUAUUAUUUUUAUUUUUACUCCGCACUCGGUUUAACUCUUUCGGCACUGUGCAGAGAGUUUUUUUUUUUUCAAUUUUACAAUAUUGAAUUACACAAAAUUUAGAAAUACAAUUUUCAUAUUCAAUUCAAUCAUAUCAACACUAUAAAAAAAUAAAAGCAAAAUAGUUUGUUUAUUUCUUAUUCAAGCAUAAAAUAUACAAACAUAUUUUUUCUAGAUAACAUACUGCUAUACAAUUGUAAAAAUAAUUUACAAUUAUUUUCUUAUAUCAUGAAAAUAUUUUCAGAUAUUGCUUCAAAAACUUUCCAAACAAACUAAAACUCAUACAUUAAUAAAAAUACAAUAAAUACAAAAUUCAUGCAACACACGUGAUAGAGACUAGUAUCUAUAGAAAGUGGAAAAUUUGAUUGAAGAAACUAACUAAGAUUAUCUAAGAAUAAACAAUAAAAAAUUUAAUUUAUCAAAUGUAAUCAAAUAAUUUAAUUUUUAUAAAUAAAUAAAUUAAUUAAAAAAUUAAUAAUUAUAUUAAUGUCGACAAUAAAAUGAAUUAUUAAAAAUAUAAAAAAAUUAAAUAGAUACGUAAACAGACAAACGCUCAUCUCGCCUAGCUCCCUUACGCCUUAAACGGGUGACGGAGAGAGAAGUGGGAUCUUGCUCUAUCCUAUUGACAUCCCUAAAUAAACAAAAGAUGUGAAAAUUAAUAAGGGUUGAUGAUGAAAAAAAAAAAUUUGUUGGGAACACAAAUGUAAUAAUAAGAAAAUUUUAUAGAUAUUCAUUGUAAUUGAAAUGUGAUAUGAAUAUAUUUACCCAUUUAAAAUCAGUUGAUCCAUGACUGACUUAUUUUGAUAAAUAAUGGUGACAUGCAAAUUAUAUAUGUGACAUAUCAGGGCCUACGUGGCUUUGUUCUUCUACCAAAGUCAUAAUUAAAUUUAUUUGACGACUUGAUUAUUUGAAAAAAAAAAAAAAAAAGAUUGAUUAAUGAAAAUAAAACUUAGCCCCUAUCUGACUUUCUUUAAAACAAAAUAAUUUAUUUUUCAUAUUUAUUUUCAAUCACACGUACAUAAUAAAAUGUUUUACACUUAAACUCAAAAAUUUUUCUUACUUUUUAACUACAAAUUAUCAAAAAAAUCACUAAUCAAAAUAUCAUUUUUACACAAUAAUGACCAUUCUAUUGAAGAAUCACUACUUUCAUCUUCGGUAAUAAAGCCUAUUCGAUUUUUUUUAAAAUAUAUUUUCAAUAAUCUGAAUAAAAUUAAAGAAUAAAUAAUUAAUUAGACCGGGCUCAGGCCAAAGAUAUUUCAAUUCCCCACAAUCGACCUUCCCUAUCUCAUUCUUGGAAGUCCUGGAAUGUCCUGCUGGGGAGGAGAUUGGAAGACUAAUUUCAUGUUUUGUAUAAUUAGAAAUUUUGAUUGAAAUUCAACUCAAAAUUAACAAUUAAUUUUAAUCAAAUAUUUUAUAUGAUUCACAACUUUUCAACCACACAUUCUAUCAACAUUUUUAUCAAAAUUUAUUAAAAAUCUAAUUUUAAUCUUUAUCAACGGAGGCUAAAAGUUAAUAUUAUUAUUAUUAUCUAGCACCAAUAGUGCUAGUGCGCUCAUUCAGGUCUCUAUAUUUUAUAGGUUCAAUCAAAUUAAUCAUAGUCUUGUUUGGUUUCCAUUCUUUCCUCAUUAAAAUGAAAAAUAUGAUCGUUAUUCAUCACAUCAAGUCAUCAAAUUUGAAUUUAUAUCUCUUGUGUGGAACUUAUAACGACUAUAUUUUUCAAUCUCAUUUUUUCAAAACUGAUAAACAAACGAGGGCUAAAUGAGUCAAUUAUUUAAUGCAAUGUAACUGUGCUUAACACUAUUAGAGAUGAAUAGCAUUAUUCAGAAGCUAAUUAUAUUCACACUACAAUUUUUAUUACUUACAUUUUAUUUGCACUUAAAUUCCUUCAUCUUAUUUGUUGUUGCACUUAUGUUCCCAACUUUUUUGUGCAUUAUAAUCUUUAAUCAUUCAUUAAAUUGAACUUCGAGUUCAAUUACGAUUUUCAUCCAAAAGCUCAACGUAGAGAUCAUCUUACCUUUUCAAAAAAAUAAAAAAUGUUAAAAGUGAGAAAUUCUCUCCCCUCAUUUCAAAGCGCACAAGCACAAAACAUUAAUACAAUCAUCAUCGAAAAUGAGAUGUAAUUAAUAAAAAAUUACAAAUAAAAAUUCGAUAAAAUAAGUUAAGAACAUAAAUAUUACCAUGAACGAAAACCUUAAAUAUAAUUACUCAUUAAAUAAAUAGAGAAAAACAAUUUCCUUGUAAAAGCUAAAAACAUUAUUAUUAAUUACUUAGAAUUGAUCAUAAAAUAAAACCGAACCAAAAAAAAACUAUACACGAAGAAAGAUGCUCAAAAUAUACACGUAACAUGUUCACACAGUCAAUCUAAAGCCCUCUAACUCAAACAAGUCUCGACGCUCAGCAGAUUCUCUCUACAAUAGCAACGAACCCAAAACAAAAACAAAAAGAAGAAGAAUCGGUACAAAGAAAUCCACCACACCCCUAUCACAACCUGCAAUGUACAAAACAUGAUCAUCAGGUUAUCCAUAUAUAAUCAUUUCAAUUAACGGAUCUGUUUUAGUUACGAAUAAUGUUAUUCACAGUCAAUGAUUGCAAUAGUUAUUCUCUGUGGCAGCUUCUGAUACGAGUCAUUAAUUUUCUACUGUGAUUUUGCUACCUCAAAUAAAAAGCUGCAACAUAGAAUGACUAUUGAAGUGAUUGAUUAUGAAUAAUAUUGCUCCUUGUUAUAUAUCAACCAUUCAUUAAAUUUGUCUUCAAAACUUAAUAGGAUGAAAGGAGUCACAGGAAGGACUGAGACCAAAUAACUUAUGGAGGACCAUAACUUAGGAGCGCGAUCUAACAUAAAGCUUUCGUUAUGAUUAAUUAGCGACCAACCCGAAUACACCAAUAUUUAAUGGGAAGCAUUGGGGAGAAAGUAGGUUAAAUGAACAAAACUAAUGUCCAUAGACGGAUAGGCAAACUGAAACACCAAGAUUUCCCAGACUCAUAGUCAAUGAUUUAGUAGUCUCCUAAAAGAAAGAACUGCAUUUAGCCGCAUUGAGUUCAUUCACCAAAGUCAUUUCUUAUUUUAAAAUUUAAUACCUGUUUGUGAUGAAAUAAAAAUGAUGUAUAUGAUAAAGGUGUCAACAAAUGCAGGCACACGCACCAAAACCAAAAUGAGCAAGGUUACCUGAAGUGUCUGAUGUUGGUAAUGCUGGCAAGGACAUCUCUGCAAGUUUAAGUACAAGUCAUCAGCGUAUGGUCAUUUAAACAAAUUAUCGAGUUAUUUGAAAACACAUGAACAGUAAAAAAUGGUAUUCCCAAUCAAUUACCAGGGGCACAAAGAGAUAACGACGUGAAAGACGACGAUGAGGGCCAUGGAGCUGCAAUAUUGUCACUUAGAUCACAUGUAAAGCUCAAGCCCGAUGAAUUAUCGAACACCAUAUCUGCAGGUAGGCUUCGUAGUAAACACCCUACAUUUGGGUAUAAAGAUUUAUUAGUCUUUAGCGCAAACUUAUUUCCAACAAUCUACUAGAAGUACCACCGCUUAAUCUACUUGAGAAAAAGCAUCUUACUUUCAAGUACAAAAGUUCAACAUGGCAGUUGCAGUGUUUGGCAAAUGUCAGAACCACUCUUAGUAAGCACAGGUAUGUCUCGAUAAGCCGUAUCUAGUAAGCUCUACAGUUAGUCGAAUUGGAAGCUAAAACGUGUUCAAAGGUAGCCCAAGAUGAAAUCAAUCUGAACUAACUUUACAAAGUCAAUUACUAUGGACUAAUUCAACUUUCUCGUCAUUAUUAAGUUACAAAAUAUUAUUUACUUGUCUUGUUAAAGUGAAUUUUUUGGAGAAAGUGUGGUUAGAAAGUAUGGAAAAGUUUUGAAUUUACGUAUAAAAUUAUUUUACUUGAAGAAAAUAUGUAGUUGAAUGGGCCUCAAUCAGGGGCUAUAAUUAAAGACACAAAUUAAUUUUUAUAGCUAGAUAAAACAGGUUUAUAUUAGAACUUGAUCAACUGACUGACUAAUGCAUGUGGUUCAGCCCAGGACCAAACCAACAACUAGAAGUGCCAAAUACAGUCCUAAUUUUGGUUUUCAUCAAUUGAUCUUUUACUAUAGAACCAGUAGAGACGAAAUCUGAAGGUGUAAUUGGUAAUUACUAACAAAAAUAUUUGCUUUUAUUCAAUUUCCUUUUAUAUUUAAGGGAAUGAGAAUAUACACAGUUAAGGACGAAUUAAGGGAAUGACGUGUUAGGUGUUUGGAUGUUAUGUAAGGAAGCAACAUAUUUAGGUUAUAAGAAUUUAGUUGCUUAGGAUCUUACAACAGAUGUAGCAAUGGAUCCAACAGAGAUGUGGGGGAAAAAAUGAUGCAUGCAUGCAGCUGACCACAAAUUACAGUGAGAAUAAGGCCGAGUCUUUUGUUGUGGUCAAUCCCAAUUAACGGAGGAGAAUAUAGGCGAGUGAAGGGCAGAAGAGCUAAAAUGCAAUCAAUAAAUCCACAUUCUCUCUCAGAAGUCAUCUGAAAUUGAAGGCAUAUGCCACACUCUGUACAAACCUAAAAAGAUUCACUUGAAAUUAACAAAAUAUAACCAAUGGCUGGAUUCUGCAUGAGAUUUCUGAUAAAAGCUCACACAGUACUUAAAUCAGCAGAAUCCUGAAAUAAAUGCAGAAUACGAAACCAGAUGCUUAGACAUAAGGCUGGACAACACGAAAAGAAAUGCUAGUAAUGUUGGAAUUUGAUUUAAAAGAGAUUAAACUUGGUAAAGUAUAAAACCAUGAAAAAAAAAAGACUUUUAGUGUCAACUUCAGCCAAAUAUUCAAACUUGAUUCGGUAGUCAAAUUAUGAAAAUAAAUAGAUUAACUUAUUCUACCCGUUGAAUAGAUGAUCACGGUAUAUUCGAAAUCUCAAAAUCAAUUCCAAAUGAAUGAGAAAUUAUGAUCCAAAAUUUGUAAGAAAAGAGGAAAAAUUGACCGGGAAUUUGCCUAAAUCCACCGCUCACCUAGUGCUCGAGUAGUGAGCGACAAGUCUCUGCAUAAACUAACACUGCUGGCGCUUGAGCAACGGGUUGCGACCCUUCACAUAGGCUGGUGAGUUUGGGGAGUAUCUCUUAACUCACACCCUCUCCUCUUCUAUAAAUAAGAUCCUUUAGACGUUCAUUACAAUAUUCUAAUCAUAUGCAAUAAUAGCAUAACAUAAAAUUCAUAUUUUCCUAGCCAAAAUUCUGCAUAAAAUUCUGUCUUUCAUUUCAAAAGAAAGGAGUACAAAAACCAUCAUUUGAUACGUUCUUGUAGCUUUGGAGUGCUAAAAACACAAGACGGUAGUCAUUGUAUCGUGAGAGUUGAUAAUCAUCAUUUGCAGGCAUCGUUGCAAGGCAAAAUUGACUCAAGGACAAAUAGUUCAACUCUUGCCUCGACUUUGCAUCCAUUUUACUUGGUGUUACUUUAUCCUUUUUCAUUGGCAUUUCUUUGGUGUUUUAUUACUCAUUUCCUAGCCGUUACUCUAUCCAAUUUGGUAAGGUUGGUAAGUUCUUAUUCAGUUAAAGAACUCACUCGAAUCCAUUUUAAAAACAAUAAGUAAAGCACAGCUGGAACAGUUGAAUACGGGCACAGAAACUAGACCUAUUUUUAAAAUUAACCGUGAGCUCUGACUAAACAAGAGUCAUGUGACUGCAAUUUUUGAUCGACAAACUGAGACAAUUAAACAAAGGGAAGCUCGUUGACUGCUGAGCUGUGACUAAAUCAGUAACUAGGCAAUCAAAUUUUUCCAUAGACAUCUUAAGAUCUUAUCAAACAAGAACAAUAGUCACACGAUAUUAGGGUAAUUGAAGAUGCUGAGCUGUGACUAAAUCAGUAACUAGGCAAUCAAAUUUUUUCAUAGACAUCUUAAGAUCUUAUCAAACAAGAACUAUAGUCACACGAUAUUAGGGCAAUUGAAGUGUUACCCAAACAGUAGCAAUUCAAUUACCGAAGAAGAAUGUCCCAAGCAGCUAAAACUACGUAAAACAGUAAGGACAUGCAGACAUCUUCAAGUUCAAGCGGGAGAAAAAGUUGAAAAAAAUGAAUGCUUUGCAAGCGAAUAAAAGGAAUUAUGCUCUGCAAAUAAGCAAUAAACUGCAUCCCACAAGAAAGAAAACCAAUAUAUAGAACACCAAAAAAGGAAUAUUAAAUGAAAGAGGACAAGGUGGACGAAGAGAGUACCUUCUUGUCCAUAUGCUGCUCCAUCACGAAACAGAGAGAGGAAAGAGAUUAUCAGAUCAGAGAAAUAACUUAACAAAAGAUUCCAGAAUGAAAUCAUAAUUCAAAUACUCACCUUGGAGACUAAAAUCUUUCAAGUCCACAUCACAAAGCUGAUAAACAUUAGUCAUCACCCCAGCCUUUUGUAGCAUGGACCCAAAUACAGUAGCGCAUAUUAUUGCUUGCCGAUUUGUAAUUAGCAUUUGCCUACGUACCCUCGCUAUGUAAGUAUUUAACGAACUACAGCAUGAAGGACUACGAGCAGAAACAUUUUGGCAUGCUUCAAUUACUUCUGAUGGUUGCCUUAAAUCCAAAGGGCAAACUGCAUCCCACAAGAUGAUCAUUUAGAAGACAAAAUAAUACAUCUAUCCAUUAUUCAAAACUAAGUAGCUCUGAUAUAGCGCACACAGAAUGACACUCAGAUUUCAAUAUCCACUCCAAUUCUUCUUUAAGGAUAGGAGAUAAAGCCUGUAGGAAAGGCGGCGGGAUUCAAAACCGCAAGCAGAUGCUGCAUACUUAACAAAGUUUAUAUCUAAAUGUUGUAGAACAUCUAAUCAGCUUGUCUUUGUGCAGAAUCCAUCAAAGCAUCCUAAUGGCUCUUAAACUAUCAUUUUUGCAAUAGGUAACUUUGAUAAACUAACUAAUUACUUGUUUCAGUCAUUGCAUGUGCUUCGGUACUUAUGAAAAUAAGAGGAACCAAUUGGAGUAGAUUAUUUUUAUUCAGUUAACAUAUCUUCAGCAUUGAUUUGUUAACACGUGCAUGCAGAAAAUAGAAACAGAAUAUUUUAUAUGAAUGGUUAUCACUAUUAACAAAAUGGCAAGGUCUCAUCAAUGAAAUUUAAAGCAUAAAGUAAUAUCAUAACCAUUCAAAAGAGGCUUCUAAAUAAGAAAUUCAAUGAACAAUAUCAGUUUCAUUGAAAAUCACCUUAAAUCCAACAUAACAAGAAACAUGUUAAGGAAAUUCACAUUCUUUUUUGAGUUAAAAGAGAAUAAAUACAUUCCAAUUUAAAACUCCUAAAUCUCAACUUUACUUUCCUAAAGCAGUUUAAGCAGUGUAUUCUUUCCUUAAUAAAUGUAGAAGACGUAGUGGACUUUAUAUUAGAUCAUUUAUUUUGAUCAGAUUGAGAUCCCCUGCAAAUCAGAAAAAGAGCAGAUCUACUGAAUAUUCCGCAGAAGUUCAGUCCAAUGAGGCCAAAUAUAAAGGCAAGGACAUGGCGGCAGAAUUAAAAUGUUUCGAAUUCAAGAUCCAUAACAAUCCUAUAGCAUAUGGGUGGAAAUAUUAUAGCACACACCUUUGUUAACCUUGCAGGCAGACAAUAUUCGAAAUGCUGUGUUAGCAGCAUCAUGAGGGAGUUUCUUUGAGAUCCAUGAAUAAACCACGCCUUUACAAUCAUUAAGCAUGUCAACAUGAUUUGAUGGUCCAAUUAUAUUCUUAUUGUCAUUCAAAAAUGACUGAGUUCCCAAGAUCUUAAGUGCAGCCUCCAUAAUUGCAGGCUGACAAAUUGGUCUGCAGCAUUCUUUGAGAGGAUCAACUUUACCGCAAGCCUCCAGUAAUUUGCUUGUGUUCACUGAUUUCUCGAAAGUGGUUAUGUCCUUCACUGGACAAGAACCACCAGUAAGAUUUGAAGAUUUUACAGAACAGAUGGUUGGUAGUGAGCUGUUUGCUCCUCUACUAGCAAGUAUACUGACAAUAUCUUUAAAACAAUCAUCGGCAACUGCAUUUUGUAAAACUAAAUUAUCAGAACGGGUGCUGUAAGAUCCCUGGAAUAUGUGGAGCAAGCUACUAAAUUGUGGGCAGCAUAUAACAUUUCCUACUACUGCUGCCAAAGGUUGAUUACAGUCACAUGCUGUUUUGUCCAUGAUACUCGAAAUGGCAGAGAAAUUUACAAGGCACCUUCCAGUCAGGACUGGAUCGUAUGUAGUUGGAAAAGUCGGAUACAUUGGUGGGAAAGAAUCCUCAGGAGAAGGCAGAUGAGGAAUUACAGCUGGUGAUAUUUCUAUGGGUUCGAAUAUUCCACUUUUUGGUGGGCUAGCCAGCACAGAUGUGGAAGAAAUGUGACUAGGCUCAGGGAGUGUCUGCAGAGCCAGCACAUUCCGAAAGCUAGACAACCAGACAGCAAAAAUUAGUAACUGAUGGGAGAAAGAACCUGCAAUACCAUUAAACAUUCCUUUAGAAUCAGGAUAUAUUCAAUUGUUUUAAUAGAAAACAUUGCAUGUUCGACGUUACCAUAUAAAAUGAGGACAUCCACCUAUAUUUGUUUUAUUUUAUUUGGACUCUUAUUUAUUUUAGUUGGACUAUUAUUUACAUUAGUGGACUUAUAUAAUGGGCUUGGCCCUUUCUCUUUAGGGUUUUUUUUUUUUUUUUUAAGGGUUUUGUUUUGCUAUUUAAAUCUGGUUUGUAAUGUAAUUGAAACAGUUGAUAAUUGAAUAAAAUAUUUGGUGGCUUGUGGCGAAAUUCCUCUCUUCCUCCAUUACUUGUUUCCUUCUUCUACUGUUUUCUUCUUUUGCCAUCUCUACCUCUGAUUUCUUCUUCAUUACUGAAUUAUUUCUCAUAUUCCAUUGGGUGUUCUAUUGGUGCUGCAUCAUAAAACCUCAAAACAUAAUGGGGCAUUGAUUCAAGAUGUUUUAAGUCAAAUGUAAUAGAACAUAAUCAUUAUAAGCAACUUGUACUUAAAGGACAGUAGGAAAAGCAUCACUAAUGAAAUGCAUUCAUUGCAUAUUCAGGUGAAUUACCAGCAUAUAUCCCUAGCUUACCAGCACAGAUACAACUAUGUUGAAUGCAUAUUGAAUUUAGCCUCUCUUUGAGCCCCAUUUUCUGAGAAUAGAUUUUGUAUUUUUUUAUUAUUAUUAUUUUAUUUUUUUUGAGAAUGUGUGGUUAAAAAAUUGGAAAAAGUUUGGAUUUACAUACAAAAUUAUUUUAUUGGGAGAAUUGGUGGUUGAAAAUGAGAUAAGAGGGAAAAUGAGUUUAAAAUAAUGGGGCUCAAACAGGGGCUUAAGAUUAGGGAACCGCUCCAUCUAAGCAAAGAAAUGUUCAAGAGAUCCCACACGAUUAGCAAGAAAAAGAGAUGGAAACGAAGGAAUAAAAUGGCAUGAGCUCCUGUCAUAGACGAACUUCAAUGAGUGAACUGAAUGGCACAAAAAAAGAAUACCAACUAAUUUUCAUGGUCCUUAGCCUUGCUCAAACUAAAAUUCAAAGAGACAUACUUCAAGCAGUUUCUUAAUAGAGAGAGAGAGAGAGAGAGGAGAAAAAAACUUUAAAGGAUGCUAGCACACAAUUUCACAUAAUUAUUCCUAGUCUGUCAAAAAUACCCAGAACACUACAAGGCCGACAUAGUGAAAUUUGAAAUAGGUAACUUACCCUUAACUCGGGUAGCAGUCUUUACACAAUCCAUAACCCCUACUAACCAUCUGGCGACAUGGAGACUCAGAAUAGAAAGCCAGGGGUAAUUAAAAACUGUCCUCGGAUACUAGUCAUAGCAUAUCGAAUACCUACAUAACAGGGAAAACAUUACUAUAAAUUUAGAAGGUGAUGCAGGGAACCAGCAAAGCCAUAAAUGUACGCAGAUAAUCUGAUCAUCAGUUUAUACUUAAGCAAAUUGUAAUGUAUCUGAUUUGCAAACCUAGAUAAUACAUCAUACAAACUAUACUAAAAUUGUAAUUCAAUAAGUGCUUCUUAUUGAAAUUUCCUAUUGACUUGUUUGGUGGAAAAAGGUCGUAUUUGCUUCAUAUUUCAUUGUCAAGAUUAAAAAUU